AGUGAACGCUGGCGGUAGGCCUAACACAUGCAAGUCGAACGGCAGCACAGUAAGAGCUUGCUCUUACGGGUGGCGAGUGGCGGACGGGUGAGGAAUACAUCGGAAUCUACUUUUUCGUGGGGGAUAACGUAGGGAAACUUACGCUAAUACCGCAUACGACCUACGGGUGAAAGCAGGGGAUCUUCGGACCUUGCGCGAUUGAAUGAGCCGAUGUCGGAUUAGCUAGUUGGCGGGGUAAAGGCCCACCAAGGCGACGAUCCGUAGCUGGUCUGAGAGGAUGAUCAGCCACACUGGAACUGAGAAACGGUCAAGACUCCUACGGGAGGCAGCAGUGGGGAAUAUUGGACAAUGGGCGAAAGCCUGAUCCAGCCAUACGGGGUGGGUGAAGAAGGCUUUCGGGUUGUAAAGCCCUUUUGUUGGGAAAGAAAAGCAGCAGGUUAAUACCCCGCUGUUCUGACGGUACCCAAAGAAUAAGCACCGGCUAACUUCGU
rnacentral:rRNA from 1 species